UCUGGGAUAGCCUUUCGAAAGAAAGAUUAAUACCCGAUAGCAUAAUGAUUCCGCAUGGUUUCAUUAUUAAAGGAUUCCGGUAAAGGAUGGGGAUGCGUUCCAUUAGGUUGUUGGUGGGGUAACGGCCCACCAAGCCUUCGAUGGAUAGGGGUUCUGAGAGGAAGGUCCCCCACAUUGGAACUGAGACACGGUCCAAACUCCUACGGGAGGCAGCAGUGAGGAAUAUUGGUCAAUGGGCGCUAGCCUGAACCAGCCAAGUAGCGUGAAGGAUGAAGGCUCUAUGGGUCGUAAACUUCUUUUAUAUAAGAAUAAAGUGCAGUAUGUAUACUGUUUUGUAUGUAUUAUAUGAAUAAGGAUCGGCUAACUCCGUGCCAGCAGCCGCGGUAAUACGGAGGAUCCGAGCGUUAUCCGGAUUUAUUGGGUUUAAAGGGAGCGUACGUGGACUGGUAAGUCAGUUGUGAAAGUUUGCGGCUCAACCGUAAAAUUGCAGUUGAUACUGUCAGUCUUGAGUACAGUACAGGUGGGCGGAAUUCGCGGUGUAGCGGUGAAAACGCUUAGAUAUCACCAAGAACUCCGAUUGCGAAGGCCCCUCCCUGGGUUGCAACUGACACUGAUGCUGGAAAGUGUGGGUAUCAAACAGGAUUAGGAUACCCUGGUAGUCCACACAGUAAACGAUGAAUACUCGCUGUUUGCGAUAUACAGUAAGCGGCCAAGCGAAAGCAUUAAGUAUUCCACCUGGGGAGUACGCCGGCAACGGUGAAACUCAAAGGAAUUGACGGGGGCCCGCACAAGCGGAGGAACAUGUGGUUUAAUUCGAUGAUACGCGAGGAACCUUACCCGGGCUUAAAUUGCAGUGGAAUGAUGUGGAAACAUGUCAGUGAGCAAUCACCGCUGUGAAGGUGCUGCAUGGUUGUCGUCAGCUCGUGCCGUGAGGUGUCGGCUUAAGUGCCAUAACGAGCGCAACCCUUAUCUUUAGUUACUAACAGGUUAUGCUGAGGACUCUAGAGAGACUGCCGUCGUAAGAUGUGAGGAAGGUGGGGAUGACGUCAAAUCAGCACGGCCCUUACGUCCGGGGCUACACACGUGUUACAAUGGGGGGUACAGAAGGCAGCUAGCGGGUGACCGUAUGCUAAUCCCAAAAGCCUCUCUCAGUUCGGAUCGAAGUCUGCAACCCGACUUCGUGAAGCUGGAUUCGCUAGUAAUCGCACAUCAGCCACGGCGCGGUGAAUACGUUCCCGGGCCUUGUACACACCGCCCGUCAAGCCAUGGGAGCC
rnacentral:rRNA from 1 species